GAUGAACGCUGGCGGCGUGCUUAACACAUGCAAGUCGAACGGACUUUGGGAGCUUGCUCCCAAAGUUAGUGGCGGACGGGUGAGUAACGCGUGGGUAACCUGCCCUAUGCAGGGGGAUAACGUUUGGAAACGAACGCUAAUACCGCAUAAUCUAGCAUCUUCGCAUGAAGAGGCUAGCAAAGAUUUUAUCGGCAUAGGAUGGACCCGCGUUAGAUUAGCUAGUUGGUGAGAUAACAGCCCACCAAGGCGACGAUCUAUAGCCGGCCUGAGAGGGUGAACGGCCACACUGGGACUGAGACACGGCCCAGACUCCUACGGGAGGCAGCAGUGGGGAAUAUUGCACAAUGGGCGCAAGCCUGAUGCAGCGACGCCGCGUGAAGGAUGAAGGUCUUCGGAUCGUAAACUUCUAUCAGCAGGGAAGAAUACCAUGACGGUACCUGACUAAGAAGCCCCGGCUAACUACGUGCCAGCCGCCGCAGUAACAC
rnacentral:rRNA from 1 species